AACUCUCGGUAGCAGAUAUCUCAGCUCUCGCAUCGAUGAAGAACGUAGCGAAAUGCGAUACAUGGUGUGAAUUGCAGAAUCCCGUGAACCACCGAGUCUUCGAACGCAAGUUGCGCCCGAAGCCAAUAGGCUGAGGGCACGUCCGCCCGCGCACAC
rnacentral:rRNA from 1 species